rnacentral:rRNA from 1 species
GACGAACGCUGGCGGCGUGCUUAACACAUGCAAGUCGAGCGGUAAGGCCCUUUCGGGGGUACGACGAGCGGCGAACGGGUGAGUAACACGUGGGUGACCUGCCCUCAGCUCUGGGAUAAGCCUGGGGAACCGGGUCUAAUACCGGAUAUGACUCCAUGACGCAUGUUGUGGGGUGGAAAGCCUUGUGCGGCUGAGGAUGGGCCCGCGGCCUAUCAGCUUGUUGGUGGGGUGAUGGCCUACCAAGGCGACGACGGGUAGCCGGCCUGAGAGGGCGACCGGCCACACUGGGACUGAGACACGGCCCAGACUCCUACGGGAGGCAGCAGGUGGGGAAUCUUGCGCAAUGGGCGAAAGCCUGACGCAGCGACGCCGCGUGAGGGAUGACGGCCUGG